CCCUUAGAAGUUCUGGGCUGCACGCGCGCGACACUGAUGCGCUCAAGGAGUUUACGACCUUGCCUGGAAAGGUUGGGUAAUCUUCUUAAAAAACAUCGUGAUGGAGCUAGAUUAUUGCAACUAUUAAUCUUCAACGAGGAAUUCCUAGUAAGCGCGAGUCAUCAGCUCGUGCUGAUUACGUCCCUGCCCUUUGUACACACCGCCCGUCGCUCCUACCGAUUGAAUGUUCCGGUGAGCUCUUCGGACUGCGCGGUCUGCAGUUUCUGCGUUCCGUGCGGAAAGUUGCGCAAACCUUAACAUUUAGAGGAAGGAGAAGUCGUAACA
rnacentral:rRNA from 1 species